UACGGAGGGUGCAAGCGUUGUCCGGAUUCACUGGGUUUAAAGGGUGCGUAGGUGGGUUUGUAAGUCAGUGGUGAAAUCUCCAGGCUUAACCUGGAAACUGCCAUUGAUACUAUAGAUCUUGAAUUUUCUGGAGGUAAGCGGAAUAUGUCAUGUAGCGGUGAAAUGCUUAGAUAUGACAUAGAACACCAAUUGCGAAGGCAGCUUGCUACAGGAAUAUUGACACUGAGGCACGAAAGCGUGGGGAUCAAACAGG
rnacentral:rRNA from 1 species